GACGAACGCUGGCGGCGUGCCUAAUACAUGCAAGUAGAACGCUGAAGGAGGAGCUUGCUCUUCUGGAUGAGUUGCGAACGGGUGAGUAACGCGUAGGUAACCUGCCUGGUAGCGGGGGAUAACUAUUGGAAACGAUAGCUAAUACCGCAUAAUAGUAGAUGUUGCAUGACAUUUGCUUAAAAGGUGCAAUUGCAUCACUACCAGAUGGACCUGCGUUGUAUUAGCUAGUUGGUGGGGUAACGGCUCACCAAGGCGACGAUACAUAGCCGACCUGAGAGGGUGAUCGGCCACACUGGGACUGAGACACGGCCCAGACUCCUACGGGAGGCAGCAGUAGGGAAUCUUCGGCAAUGGACGGAAGUCUGACCGAGCAACGCCGCGUGAGUGAAGAAGGUUUUCGGAUCGUAAAGCUCUGUUGUAAGAGAAGAACGAGUGUGAGAGUGGAAAGUUCACACUG
rnacentral:rRNA from 1 species